rnacentral:rRNA from 1 species
UGCUUAACACAUGCAAGUCGAGCGAGAACGUCGACUUCGGUCGACUAGUAAAGCGGCGAACGGGUGAGUAACACGUGGGCAACCUGUCUUGGAGUGGGGGAUAACCUGGUGGAAACUCGGGCUAAUACCGCAUACGUUCUCAGCACUGCGGUGCUGAGUGGAAAGCUGGCCAAUUCUUGAAAGCUGGCGCUCUUUGAGGGGCCCGCGUCCGAUUAGCUUGUUGGUGGGGUGACGGCCACCAAGGCUGCGAUCGGUAGCCGGCCUGAGAGGGUGAUCGGCACACUGGGACUGAGACACGGCCCAGGACUCCUACGGGAGGCAGCAGUGGGGAACUAUUGGACAAUUGGGCGAAAAGCCUGAUCCAGCAACGCCGCGUUGGAGGACCGAAGGCCUUCGGGGUCGUAAACUCCUGUCAGUNGGGACGAAAAG